CAUUUAAAACAAAUAUUGUUUUUAUUUUUUAAGAAUAUCUGCUCCAAAAGCCACUUUUGCUGCUUGUAAACACUGUUCUGUGCUCCAAAAGCCACCUUUGCUGCUCCAAAACACCAUUUUGGCUGCUCCGAAAGGUGUUCCAAAACGGCUCAGGCCAAUCACAUCGCUGCUUAUUGCAUCAGGGGCACAUGCUCAAUGCUUUAAUGUAGUCGAUUCGCCAGCGAGCAAAGAGAAAUCUGAUCAAAUGAGCGAUGAACACUUAUGGUCAUUUUUAUCGAUCAAUUAACCCGGCAAAUGUUGACACAAUCUGUUUUGUGCCACUCAACAUAUAGGUACUUUGUGGAAGCAUAUUUCGACACAGCCCUGCCACACUUGAGCGAAGAGGAGCCAAAUAUGCGGACAAGUUUUUCUGUGUGGAGAGUAUUAUGUGUUGCCAAUUUUAUUUACACUCAUCCGGUCCAGGUUGCUAUUAAAUGUAAGGCCCACUCUGGCGACUGUCUCAAGAUGUGGCAUAUUGUUGCCUCGGAGGGAGAGUCCUUCCCAUUGGCCAACUUUUGGCAGCAUAUUAUGUGCUCUUCGCAGUGCCACUGUUUGAACCAAUCCAGCAUCAUCUAGUCGACAUCAAGCUGAAUCUUUCUAUUUAAGUCGGCAUAAAAAGUCGACCCACAUGAUGUGUUUCACCACUGUUGCGCUUGCCUGAACAAAACCAGCGCGUGCCGGCCGAGGCAGAUUGCUGGGACGGCGAGAGCGACUACUUCUCUUUGCUGGACAAGUUGGAACCCCCGACGCAGCCCCGAUACC
rnacentral:misc_RNA from 1 species